UACGGGGGAUGCAAGCGUUAUCCGGAUUUAUUGGGUUUAAAGGGUGCGUAGGCGGUCUGGUAAGUCAGCGGUGAAAUUUCCGAGCUCAACUUGGAACGUGCCGUUGAUACUGCUGGACUAGAAUGCGGAUGCCGUGGGAGGAAUGUGUGGUGUAGCGGUGAAAUGCAUAGAUAUCACACAGAACACCGAUUGCGAAGGCAUCUCACGAAUCCGCAAUUGACGCUGAGGCACGAAAGCGUGGGGAUCAAACAGG
rnacentral:misc_RNA from 1 species